rnacentral:rRNA from 1 species
GCUUAUCACCAUUCCAGAUUGAAUAUACCCGAUCUCGUCUGAUCUCGGAAGUCAAGCAAUCUCGGGCUUGGUUAGUACUUGGAUGGGUGACCGCUUGAGAAAUACCAGUGUGAUAAGCA